UACGUAGGGUGCGAGCGUUGUCCGGAAUUAUUGGGCGUAAAGAGCUUGUAGGUGGUUUGUCGCGUCUGCUGUGAAGAUCCGAGGCUCAACCUCGGACUUGCAGUGGGUACGGGCAGACUAGAGUGUGGUAGGGGAGACUGGAAUUCCUGAUGUAGCGGUGGAAUGCGCAGAUAUCAGGAGGAACACCGAUGGCGAAGGCAGGUCUCUGGGCCAUUACUGACACUGAGAAGCGAAAGCAUGGGGAGCGAACAGG
rnacentral:rRNA from 1 species